rnacentral:rRNA from 1 species
CCUACGGGUGGCAGCAGUGGGGAAUAUUGCACAAUGGGGGAAACCCUGAUGCAGCGACGCCGCGUGAGUGAAGAAGUAAUUCGUUAUGUAAAGCUCUAUCAGCAGGGAAGAAAAGGACGGUACCUGUGUAAGAAGCCCCGGCUAACUACGUGCCAGCAGCCGCGGUAAUAUGUAGGGGGCAAGCGUUAUCCGGAUUUACUGGGUGUAAAGGGAGCGUAGACGGGAGUGCAAGUCUGGAGUGAAAGGCGGGGGCUCAACCCCAGGACUGCACUGGAAACUGUAGGGCUGGAGUGCAGGAGAGGUAGGUGGAAUUCCUAGUGUAGCGGUGAAAUGCGUAGAUAUUAGGAGGAACACCAGUGGCGAAGGCGGCUUGCUGGACUGUAACUGACGGUGAGGCUCGAAAGCGUGGGGAGCAAACAGGAUUAGAUACCCGAGUAGUC